ACACGGGGGGCGCAAGCGUUAUUCGGAAUUAUUGGGCGUAAAGGGCGUGUAGGCGGUUUUAUCGGUCAGAUGUGAAAGCCCAGGGCUCAACCCUGGACGUGCAUUUGAAACAGUAAGACUUGAGUACGAUAGAGGAAAGCGGAAUUCCUGGUGUAGAGGUGAAAUUCGUAGAUAUCAGGAGGAACACCGAUGGCGAAGGCAGCUUUCUGGACCGAAACUGACGCUGAUGCGCGAAGGCGUGGGUAGCGAACAGGAUUAGAAACCCCAGUAGUCC
rnacentral:rRNA from 1 species